ensembl:lncRNA
UUCUGACGCUGUUUCACCUCUUACACAGCGCAAACACGUUGAUUUGAGCUUGUUCCCAUUGUACGAACUUUAAUGCGCAAACAUGGCGACGUGCGUGCCGUUCCAGAGCCAGUUAUCGUCCAUUCUUGAGGUUCUGGUGCGCUCGGCCGUGGCACAGAUCUCCAAACUGGUGGAUGAAAAAUGCGCUUUUCUGCACCUGGAAAUCUCCCGAAAGCAAAGCGAAAACGAGUUGCUCAAACGGAGACUGCAGACGGUGGAGAGCAAGAACGCGCUGCUGCAACAAGGAUACGACAAAUACCUGGAGCGUGGCAUCUCUAUGGACAACAGCAGUGCAACUGUGCAAGGAGAUAUCAAGUUUCCAGACCUUCUUGAGAACAGUUCUGCUCCGUUCACAGUGAAAGAGGAGAGUCCAGAUGACCUGUGGAUCAGUCCGUCUGCUCUCAGCACAGGUUCUUCUGCACAAUUUAUGACAACUUCCGAAGGGCAGCGAUUUGAAAAGAAUUGCCAAAUAACCCAAACUGAAGUAUCCACGGCGCAGAAAAACAUGGACAUAAGCCACACGUACAACCCAUCUCACCACAACAUGGGCCAAAACUUCACUGUAAAAACCGAAAAAGAGGAGAACCAAGCAGGGUUCAGCCAGGAUAGCUGUCAACAUAGCACUAGAAAGCUACCUCAACCAAACAAUAUGAACAACAGUGACUUUUCUAUGGAAGAACGCAGCAGCCAACUUUGGUCUUCAAUAAUGGACGGAAACGAAAUAGAUUCUAGUUUUCCAGAUUUUUCUAGCGUUGUCGACGAAUAUUCAAACACAUUUUCAGAGCAAUCGGAAGUGGUGGCUAAAGCUAGUACUGCCGAUCAA